rnacentral:rRNA from 1 species
CCUACGGGGGACAGCAGUGGGGAAUAUUGCACAAUGGGGGGAACCCUGAUGCAGCGACGCCGCGUGAGCGAUGAAGUAUUUCGGUAUGUAAAGCUCUAUCAGCAGGGAAGAAAAUGACGGUACCUGACUAAGAAGCCCCGGCUAACUACGUGCCAGCAGCCGCGGUAAUACGUAGGGGGCAAGCGUUAUCCGGAUUUACUGGGUGUAACGGGAGCGUAGACGGCUGUGCAAGUCUGGAGUGAAAGGCAUGGGCUCAACCUGGGGACUGCUUUGGAAACUGUGCGGCUUGAGGGUCGGAGAGGCAAGUGGAAUUCCUAGUGUAGCGGUGAAAUGCGUAGAUAUUAGGAGGAACACCAGUGGCGAAGGCGGCUUGCUGGACGAUGACUGACGUUGAGGCGCGAAAGCGUGGGGAGCAAACAGGAUUAGAUACCCGAGUAGUC